CUGCUGAAAAUGAUGAUGAGGAACUGGUAUUUGCUGCAUCACAAUGUGAAGCACAGAUAAAUACAGAAUUAUGUCACAUCUUGCCUCAAGCUGGAUGUAUGCUUUGAGCGCAUUUCUUCGAAACCAGACCUGUUCUGGUCCGUCUCCAUCAGCGGAAACAGCAAAAGCACCAGGUCUUCCACAUCAUCCACCACCAGCUGAGCUUCCAGUUCACUGGAAAGAUCAUCUUCCACCUUUCCAGCAUGAGUGGAUACGGAACACACUAUUUAAGGCCAACCCGCGAACCGGCAAGCCAGAACUAGUGUCCCAACUGAAGCUUUGGUGGUAUCCUCCUCAGGUCCCUUUAAUUCACACUCAGCCGCCCGCCUCACCUGACCUCUUCUUCUGUCGGCCCCUUUUCUUAUGGAUGCCGCUCAAGAUGUGGCGAUUUCCUCUUGUCUGUGUUCGACCAGACUGUGAUAAGCACAAACUAACAGCCGCAGGACUUUACCG